AUGCAGUUGAUGAAUCCCAGAUAGAACGAAACGCAUGUCCUGAAU
rnacentral:hammerhead_ribozyme from 1 species